rnacentral:pre_miRNA from 17 species
CUGACAGAAGAGAGUGAGCACACAUGGUGACUUUCUUGCAUGCUGAAUGGACUCAUGCUUGAAGCUAUGUGUGCUCACUUCUCUCUCUGUCAG